CAGUUGUGUGGUGAGCAUAAAAGCCAAUUAUUCUUUCGUCUUUUACUAAAGAAUAACAUGUGCCCGCCGCAAAUUGCAGCACACGCCUAUUUUAUGGAGGGGAUUCUCCUAUUUUAGGAAU